AUUGAACGCUGGCGGCAUGCCUUACACAUGCAAGUCGAACGGCAGCACGGACUUCGGUCUGGUGGCGAGUGGCGAACGGGUGAGUAAUGUAUCGGAACGUACCUUUCAGUGGGGAAUAACGUAGCGAAAGUUACGCUAAUACCGCAUAUUCUGUGAGUAGGAAAGCAGGGGAUCGAAAGACCUUGCGCUGAUUGAGCGGCCGAUAUCAGAUUAGCUAGUUGGUGGGGUAAAGGCCUACCAAGGCGACGAUCUGUAGCGGGUCUGAGAGGAUGAUCCGCCACACUGGAACUGAGACACGGUCCAGACUCCUACGGGAGGCAGCAGUGGGGAAUUUUGGACAAUGGGGGCAACCCUGAUCCAGCCAUGCCGCGUGAGUGAAGAAGGCCUUCGGGUUGUAAAGCUCUUUCGGCCGGGAAGAAAUCGCAUAGGCUAAUACCCUGUGUGGAUGACGGUACCGGAAUAAGAAGCACCGGCUAACUACGUG
rnacentral:rRNA from 1 species